GAUGAACGCUGGCGGCGUGCCUAAUACAUGCAAGUCGAGCGAACGGACGAGAAGCUUGCUUCUCUGAUGUUAGCGGCGGACGGGUGAGUAACACGUGGAUAACCUACCUAUAAGACUGGGAUAACUUCGGGAAACCGGAGCUAAUACCGGAUGAUAUUUUGAACCGCAUGGUUCAAAAGUGAAAGACGGUCUUGCUGUCACUUAUAGAUGGAUCCGCGCUGCAUUAGCUAGUUGGUAAGGUAACGGCUUACCAAGGCAACGAUGCAUAGCCGACCUGAGAAGGUGAUCGGCCACACUGGAACUGAGACACGGUCCAGACUCCUACGGGAGGCAGCAGUAGGGAAUCUUCCGCAAUGGGCGAAAGCCUGACGGAGCAACGCCGCGUGAGUGAUGAAGGUCUUCGGAUCGUAAAACUCUGUUAUUAGGGAAGAACAUAUGUGUAAGUAACUGUGCACAUCUUGACGGUACCUGAUCAGAAAGCCACGGCUAACUACGUG
rnacentral:rRNA from 1 species